CUCAGAGGAAGAGGGCGGGCUUUACUUGGUGUCAGUGAGAGAAAUGAAAAAAAGCUGAAAUGAGUGAGAAGGACGAUGAAGGAAACAUCUGUGCUGUGUCUGCUCUUUACUGUAACUCAGUACUUUUACUCUGCUUUUCUAGUCUAUUCACUGACAUCUUAAUCCUGUGUUCUCCUGAGCUUGAACCUGAACGUCAGACCAACCAUUGACUGCAGGAGACAUGAGCCUCAGACCAGCUCACCAUCACUAUCUUCAUCAUCAUCAUCAUCAUCAGCCCAGAACACUGUUACAGCGAAGUCUGGACAGGACGUAGUUCUACCAUGUCGAGUAUCACCAGACAAAACCAUCAGAGCUGUGAAGUGGAGCAGAGCUGACCUGGGAGAUGAAUAUGUGCUUUUGUACCGGGAUGAGCAGCUGGAUCCAGAAAACCAGCAUCCAUCUUUUAAGAACCGGGUGGAUCUGCAGGACAGGAAGAUGAAUAAUGGAGACGUGUCUCUGGUUCUGAAGAAUGUGACGACUGCUGAUGAUGGAUCAUACAAUUGUAAUAUUUUCAACGGAGGGACAAGGUCAUGGGAGUGCAUCAACACCGUCAGCCUGACUGUUUCAGGUCAGACAGCAGAACUCACAGUUGCACCUGUUGGACUCAUCGCUGGUCUGAGUGUUCCUGCUGUGGUUCUUGUUGCUGCUGUUAGUUUUGUGUGCUACAGAAAACAUAAACAACAGAACCGGGAUUUUAACUAGCAUCCUCAUGAACAGCAGGUUUCAAAUGUCUCUACGGUUUAGUAUGUGUAAACUAACAAAACACUAAACUUACAAAACAACACUGGUUUAAAAACUAAUUGUUUAAUUUAAUCCUGGAUCACACUACAUGACAUCACUACAGAGUGCAGACAAAUGAUGCAUCGUUUACCCGAAUCGCUAUAAUUCAGAGAAAUCCUGGAAAAAAAAUAUUAGGACAUAAUAAUUGACAAGUUUCACCUGCUCUAUGUGUAACUCAAUGACCUCUAACACCUGAAAUCCUUUAUUGUAUGAAGGUAAAAUAUUGUGUACCUUUAAUAUUCAUCAUCUAUCCAGAUCUAUCACAGUGACAUGGAACGACCCACUGUAUUAUAAAGCCUUUCCAUUUAAUGUAUUAUAAAGGUGGAGGUGUUGCUCUUCCAUCGCUGUCACUGGCAGAUCUGAGUGAAUACUGACCUUAAAAGUGAAGGUGAACCCUGUUUGAAUGACAGCAUGUUGUUUACCAGUUCAUUAAUAUUAGUGAAUGACUCUGGGGCAGGGAUGUCAAACUGGUUUUACAUCAUGGGCCACAUUAAACUCCCCACGAUGUAAAGUAGUUUAAGUGCACGUUCAAUCUGACAUAUCUCUGUGUAAGAAGGAGAACUGCAACUUUAUCAGCACCUCUGAGUUUUCUCUAAUAUAUUUCUGUACUUGAUGGUGAAAAAACAGGAACUUUCUGUAACUUAACAGCCUGUUUAUUGUUUAUUUACUUUGGUGUCGUAUGAAUCACCUUUGACGAGGUCGUCAGCUGAAAAGCAGCAAAGCUGCAUUUUCCAAAGCCACCCAGUGGGGAUAUUAGAACAUGUUUCUUCCCCAAUAGCAGCUAAGUUUAUUAUUUAUUCAUUAUCAUAGAAACAUUAUAGCAGGUUAUGAUAUGGAUGUGUUACUCAGAGAAUUGAAUUUGUAACCUCUGACCUUUGUGAAGCUUUUCAGCUUAAAAUGCCAGAACGACCAGACACUAAAGACAAACCCACUGCGUAAAGGAAACUUUACUACACUAUGUAAGGAGCAGAAGACACUAAAAUACUAAAUUAAAACUAAAACAUUUUUAUGCUAUACCAUUAAAAACUGACGUUGCACAUGUCAGCUGAUCGUUUUAUAAUUUUUAGUUUGUCAUAGAGACAAAAAGUGAGGGAGCAUUUAGAGCAGAACAUCCUAACAGGAAGUUCAACUCUGUGGUUUUACAGUUACGCUGUGUUCAACUGUGAAUAGUUCAAAGCAAAGGAGGAGUGAUGUCAGUGUAGCUUAGAGGAAGUCUGAAAUAGUCGACAGCCAGGAUCACAAACACUACACAGUUUCUGAUUCCAUCCUUUUCCUGUAAGUAACUAGUUAAUGUAACUCUUCUUUCUAGGUAACAAUUUGAUGUCAAACGUGACUCGUGUGAGCAAAGUAAAGGCUUUUCAAACUAUUUUCUAUCCGUCCGUCCAUCUAGUGGCUCUAAGUGCUCACUGCAGUUGUUCGUAACUUCAAACAUUAAAAAAUGCAUUUAUUACACAUCACUACACUAACAGACUAACUAACCGCUUGAAGAGAUGAGUGGUGAUCCUCUCAGCAGACUGAGGGACGAACACAUUAAACCAGGUCAAAUAUCCACGUUCAUGUUUAAAUACUGCAGAACUUUGGUGCAAACAGCAGUAACAUCAGUGAUGAUGGUGAUACGACAGGGAGUAAACAAACCACUAAAUGGGACUAAAUGGGACCAGUGAGGAAGUGUCAGUACAAUAAAAAGAUGCACAAAAGAAAUGAUGGAGUAAAAAAACUGUUUUAAAAGGAAAACACAAGAAGUCUGAUGUGUUUUGUUCUUUCAGGUCAGGAGAUCAUACACGUGGAUAGAUUUUUUUUAAUCUAAACAUAUUUACUUUGUACACAGGAACAUGUGAGAUAUGAAAAAUGUUCAAAGUAAAUAGUUUUGACUCAUAUUUGUUGAUUGAUUUAUGACUGGCUGCUGCAGUCUGGAGCAUGAAUGUGAUUUUUGUUUAUAUGUAUGAUAAACUGGAAUGUUCACUUGUUAAUGCUUUUCUGCAAUGUGCUGCACUACAGAAAUAAAAGUAAUAUUUGAAAAUCAUCACUCACUUGUUCUGUUU
ensembl:lncRNA